rnacentral:rRNA from 1 species
UACAGAGGGUGCGAGCGUUAAUCGGAAUUACUGGGCGUAAAGGGCGCGUAGGUGGUUUGGUAAGUGAGUGGUGAAAACCCUGGGCUUAACCUGGGACUGGCUAUUCAUACUGCUGAGCUGGAGUGUCGUAGAGGGUAGGUGGAAUUCCGGUCGUAGCAGUGAAAUGCGUAGAUAUCGGGAGGAACAUCGGUGGCGAAGGCGGCUACCUGGACGAACACUGACACUGAGGCGCGAAAGCGUGGGGAGCGAACAGG